rnacentral:rRNA from 1 species
CAGUCGCCGCGGUAAUACGAAGGGGGCUAGCGUUGUUCGGAUUUACUGGGCGUAAAGGGUGCGUAGGCGGACUGAUAAGUCAGGGGUGAAAUCCCAAGGCUCAACCUUGGAACUGCCUUUGAUACUGUUAGUCUUGAGUUCGAGAGAGGUGAGUGGAACUGCGAGUGUAGAGGUGAAAUCCGUAGAUAUUGGGAAGAACACCGGUGGCGAAGGCGGCGACCUGGUCCUUGACUGACGCUGAGGCGCGAAAGCGUGGGGAGCAAACAGGAUUAGAUACCCGCGUAGUCCCUGUCUCUUAUAC